rnacentral:rRNA from 1 species
AUCUGGAACAAAGCGUACACGGUGGAUGCCUAGGCAAUCAGAGGCGAUGAAGGACGUGCUAAUCUGCGAAAAGCGUCGGUAAGGUGAUAUGAACCGUUAUACCCGACGAUAUCCGAAUGGGGAAACCCAGUAUCCAAUGGAUACUAUCAUUAACUGAAUCCAUAGGUUAAUGAGGCGAACCGGGAGAACUGAAACAUCUCAGUACCCCGAGGAAAAGAAAUCAACCGAGAUUCCCCUAGUAGCGGCGAGCGAACGGGGAGCAGCCCAGAGUCUUAAUCAAUAGCAGUGUCAGGAGAACGGUCUGGAAAGUCCGGCAGUAAAGGGUGAUAGCCCCGUAUCUGAAGAUGCUGUUAUUGUGAACUCGACGAGUAGGGCGGGACACGUGUUAUCCUGUCUGAAUAUGGGGGGACCAUCCUCCAAGGCUAAAUACUCCUGAUUGACCGAUAGUGAACCAGUACCGUGAGGGAAAGGCGAAAAGAACCCCGGCGAGGGGAGUGAAAAAGAACCUGAAACCGUGUACGUACAAGCAGUAGGAGCCUCUUUAUGGGGUGACUGCGUACCUUUUGUAUAAUGGGUCAGCGACUUAUAUUCUGUAGCAAGGUUAACCGUAUAGGGGAGCCGUAGGGAAACCGAGUCUUAACUGGGCGAAUGAGUUGCAGGGUAUAGACCCGAAACCCGGUGAUCUAUCCAUGGGCAGGUUGAAGGUUGGGUAACACUAACUGGAGGACCGAACCGACUAAUGUUGAAAAAUUAGCGGAUGACUUGUGGAUGGGGGUGAAAGGCCAAUCAAACCGGGAGAUAGCUGGUUCUCCCCGAAAGCUAUUUAGGUAGCGCCUCGUGAACUCAUCUUCGGGGGUAGAGCACUGUUUCGACUAGGGGGUCAUCCCGACUUACCAACUCGAUGCAAACUGCGAAUACCGAAGAAUGUUAUCACGGGAGACACACGGCGGGUGCUAACGUCCGUCGUGAAGAGGGAAACAACCCAGACCGCCAGCUAAGGUCCCAAAGUCAUGGUUAAGUGGGAAACGAAGUGGGAAGGCUCAGACAGCCAGGAUGUUGGCUUAGAAGCAGCCAUCAUUUAAAGAAAGCGUAAUAGCUCACUGGUCGAGUCGGCCCGCGCGGAAGAUGUAACGGGGCUAAACCAUGCACCGAAGCUGCGGCAGCGACACAAAGUGUUGUUGGGUAGGGGAGCGUUCUGUAAGCCUGCGAAGGUGUACUGUGAGGUAUGCUGGAGGUAUCAGAAGUGCGAAUGCUGACAUAAGUAACGAUAAUGCGGGUGAAAAACCCGCACGCCGGAAGACCAAGGGUUCCUGUCCAACGUUAAUCGGGGCAGGGUGAGUCGACCCCUAAGGCGAGGCUGAAAAGCGUAGUCGAUGGGAAACGGGUUAAUAUUCCCGUACUGGUGGUAACUGCGAUGGGGGAACGGAGAAGGCUAGGUUGUCCGGGCGACGGUCGUCCCGGUUCAAGCAGGUAGGCAGAGUGAUUAGGCAAAUCCGGUCACUUAAUGCUGAGAUGUGAUGACGAACCACUAAGGUGGUGAAGCAAUUGAUGCCCCGCUUCCAGGAAAAGCCUCUAAGCUUCAGGUUACCAACAAUCGUACCCCAAACCGACACAGGUGGUCAGGUAGAGAAUACUCAGGCGCUUGAGAGAACUCGGGUGAAGGAACUAGGCAAAAUGGUGCCGUAACUUCGGGAGAAGGCACGCUGGCGGUAGGUAAAGUCCCUCGCGGACGGCGCUGAAGCCAGUCGAAGAUACCAGCUGGCUGCAACUGUUUAUUAAAAACACAGCACUGUGCAAACACGAAAGUGGACGUAUACGGUGUGACGCCUGCCCGGUGCUGGAAGGUUAAUUGAUGGGGUCAGCCGCAAGGCGAAGCUCCUGAUCGAAGCCCCAGUAAACGGCGGCCGUAACUAUAACGGUCCUAAGGUAGCGAAAUUCCUUGUCGGGUAAGUUCCGACCUGCACGAAUGGCGUAAUGAUGGCCAGGCUGUCUCCACCCGAGACUCAGUGAAAUUGAACUCGCUGUGAAGAUGCAGUGUACCCGCGGCAAGACGGAAAGACCCCGUGAACCUUUACUAUAGCUUGACACUGAACAUUGAGCCUUGAUGUGUAGGAUAGGUGGGAGGCUUUGAAGUGUGGACGCCAGUCUGCAUGGAGCCAACCUUGAAAUACCACCCUUUAACGUUUGAUGUUCUAACCUAGGCCCAUAAACUGGGUCGGGGACCGUGUCUGGUGGGUAGUUUGACUGGGGCGGUCUCCUCCUAAAGAGUAACGGAGGAGCACGAAGGUUGGCUAAGCAUGGUCGGACAUCAUGCGGUUAGUGCAAAGGCAUAAGCCAGCUUGACUGCGAGAGUGACGGCUCGAGCAGGUACGAAAGUAGGUCUUAGUGAUCCGGUGGUUCUGAAUGGAAGGGCCAUCGCUCAACGGAUAAAAGGUACUCCGGGGAUAACAGGCUGAUACCGCCCAAGAGUUCAUAUCGACGGCGGUGUUUGGCACCUCGAUGUCGGCUCAUCACAUCCUGGGGCUGAAGUAGGUCCCAAGGGUAUGGCUGUUCGCCAUUUAAAGUGGUACGCGAGCUGGGUUUAGAACGUCGUGAGACAGUUCGGUCCCUAUCUGCCGUGGGCGUUGGAAGAUUGAGAGGGGUUGCUCCUAGUACGAGAGGACCGGAGUGAACGCACCACUGGUGUUCGGGUUGUCAUGCCAAUGGCAUUGCCCGGUAGCUAAGUGCGGAAGAGAUAACCGCUGAAAGCAUCUAAGCGGGAAACUUGCCUCGAGAUGAGUC